rnacentral:rRNA from 1 species
AUAGAACCUGAAACCGUGUGCCUACAACAAGUUCGAGCCCGUUAAUGGGUGAGAGCGUGCCUUUUGUAGAAUGAACCGGCGAGUUACGAUAUGAUGCGAGGUUAAGUUGAAGAGACGGAGCCGUAGGGAAACCGAGUCUGAAUAGGGCGGAUUAGUAUUAUGUCGUAGACCGAAACCCAACUGUGACCUACCCACUGAGCAGGUUGGUAAGGUAGGAGGUAAAACGUAACACUGGAGGACCGGAACCAACGGGCGACGUUAAAAAGUUAAGCUUGGUAGUGACUUGUGGGUAGGCGGAGGAAAUUACCUAAACCGAAACUUAGGUAGGAUAGCUGGUUCGUUCUCCGAAACUAAGCUUUAGGGUCGUAGCGUCGACAUUAAGUAUUCUUGGAGGUAGAGCACUGUUGGGUUGAGGGUCCGAUCCGGACUUACAACUCUCAGAUAAACUACCGAACUGCCAACUGAAUUAUGGUCGGCAGUCAGACUGCGAGUGCUAAGAUCCGUAGUCGAAAGGAAACGAGCCCAGACCACCAGCUAAGGUACCAAACUAAUAU